rnacentral:misc_RNA from 1 species
GGCCGUACGCAUACGUAUGCAUCCAUGCAUAUCAUGGCAAAGGCAUGCUGUGGGCAGCGGGCUGCCGGCGACCAGCUCUCGCUCUCUCCCCCGCGCCUUAUUCUCCGUCUUGAGGCAGCGAAGGGCCGCGCCAGGCCCGGCGGAACGGGACGUUCCGCUUUCCUCGUUCUCUUUAUUCGUCUUUGCGCGCUUUCCUCGGGAGAUAGCGGCUCUGCACGAUCGGGGGGACGAUGAAGUGUUCGUUGCCGAGUGAAGGCGAGGUCUUUGUUCUACCUGUGACUGCUACUUGUAGUUUGCAUUUUGUUCGAGAAAGCGCCCCAGUGACGUCAUGGCCUCUUCUCUCUCGUUGUUUCCACUGCCCAAGCCUCCCGAGUAAGCCCCGCCCACCCGGCCCCCUUCACGCCUCCACCCUGUGAGGCAGGAAGGCGGGAGGGCGUGUGGCUCCGCGCUCUCGUCCAUGCACACAGUCACAGGCGCAUACGGCUGGCGAUGCCCUUGUAUGAGAGACGCGUUUGAUUCCUGCCGGUAUGCAGCCCUCUCGGUGUCAGCGGCCCGACCGCACACACACACACACACACACACACACCAACGAGAGAAAAUCGCGUCGCGUGUUGGCGAAGGCACAUGUGCAUGCAUGCGUCUGUUUCCUUGCCCUCUUCUCCCUCUGUUGCUCAACGGGAAAAAGGGGCUGCGCCUUUCUCGAAGCUGAGAGUUUUCCUUCCCCUCUCUCCCCUAAGUAGCGAUGAUGCUUUUUCGGGAUACCACCUCUUGCGUGCGCCGCUCCCCCCUCAUUGUGAUCAUGGUGCCGUGGUACUCUUCAAGGCGCUGCGAUUCUUUUCCGUCGUCUCUUCGUUAUUCUCUCCGCAUCACGCGCAGCGUUCUACUCUGCCUUUCCUGUCCCUGCCGUCUUCGCUCCCUUUUUUUCGCGUCUUUUCCACAUCGACGCCCGCGCACGUGCCACCGCGCUCCUCUCCACUCACGUGUACUCACAUGAAACGUCCGUGGCAUUGCUCGACGCACUGGAUCCCCGCUUCGACGUGAUGCCGAUAUCCCGUGCAUAUCUUUAUCUCCUUCGCUUGCCGCCGUUGUGUGCACCAUACCACCCCCCUGCUUCUCUUUCUCGCGCAACCCAUGCUGUGUUUCUUGUUGGCUAG